rnacentral:lncRNA from 1 species
AACUGUAAGUCACAAACCCGAAACCCCGCGAUCUACCACUCUCCCUGUCAUAUACCACUUUGGCUUCCAAAACCUUCCCUUGCUCACGAAACAAAGUCUCAAGAGCUAAAUCAUCAACACCCCAUGAAAGGUUACCAACAUAAACACGGUUGCCACCACUAGAAGGCGCACCAGCACCACCUCCUCUGGGCCCUCUGGGAGAGAAUUCUUCCCUCCUAGGAGGAGGAGGUCCAGAGUUCACCCUCAGGGGUCGGCCCUCGAGUUCCUGAAAUUUGAACAAGACUCUUGCUUAGGCAUAACAAUCACAUUGCUAAUAGAUAUGAAAUCGCCCUGUCAGACGUAAAGUUCUCGUGAAAUCAAGCAUCAAUAAGAGUGAAAAUUUAAAUAGGAAAAAGCACGGCACAAGGUAAGUUCGAAAGUGGAUUUUGAUAAAUUCUAAACCAAUCCACUUUCAAAUGUCAAUAAUCCAUUCAAUCAUUUCUUUCAUCUCUGAAAAGCAGUAAGCCAUUCACACAUUAAAAAACUGAUUUUUUUUUUUAGGCGAGAGUUUAUUGCUUACAUAGCCAUUGAACUGCUGAGCAGCUGCUUCAACUUCCUCAACACUUGACAUGGUCACAAAACCAAAUCCUCUGCUUCUCCCAGUGACCUUGUCAUAUAUUACCUGCCACAAAUAAUAAACCUCGUCGCAUCAAAUUCUUUCAAAAUUCUAAUCACUAACAAAUACUUAAUUUGAAAACAUUUUCUCAAUAAACAAACAAGCAAACAAACAGAAAAAGCUAAAUCUUUCUACAAGGCUAUCAACAGGCUCACGAAAAAUGUACCUCAACCAUCUCAACAUUUCCAGCGGUUUCAAACAAGCCAGCAAGCUGAGCACUGUCAACGCUAAAAGGAAGGUUACCCACAAAAAGUUUCAAGUCGGGGGAGAAAUUCGAACCGUCUUCAUCGCUCAAAAGGUCCUCUUCCUGGUCAAACUCGGACGAAACGGCUACGUUUCUGACGAAACGAGAGGGGGAAGAGGGCAAGGGUUGAAAAGAAUGGAUGAAAGAAGAGGAUAUCGAGAUGGGCUUCGCUAGAAGUUUGUGAGAAGAGGAGGAAGAUAAGAGAGAAAAUGAAGUGG